rnacentral:lncRNA from 1 species
UUUAAUACUCUCUCUCUCUCUCUCUCUCUCUCUCUCUCUCUCUCGCAGCUUCUCUCUCCAGCAGAAUCAAAACACUAAAUUAAAAAUUUGGAAAAACUUCAAAUAUUCUAAUGUGAUUUCACUUUUUCUCAUUUUAGUAUUCUAUGGUUUAAAGUGUAUCAAGUUAGUACCAUAUAGUUUUACACUUUUUCACUUUAGUAUUCUGUGGUUUAAAGUGUAUCAAGUUAGUAUCAUGUGGUUUUGCACUUUAUCAUUUUAGUAUUAUGUGGUUUCGCACUUUAUCACUUUAGUACCCUAUGGUUUAAAAAUCACAGGAUACUAACUUGAUACAAAAAUAAAAUCACAGGAUACUAACUUGAUACAAAAAUAAAACCAUAGGAUACUACUAACUUGAUACACUUUAAACCACAGGGUACUAAAAUGAUAAAGUGAGAAACCACAGGGUACUAACUUGAUACAUUUUAAACUACAUGGUACUAAAAUGAAAAAGCACGAAACUACAAGGGGGGUUUUUCAAGUUUUUCCUAAAAAAUUUAUAUAUUUUUUCAACCAAGAAUCUUUUUCUUCUGCUCUAUCUCUCUGUCUUCUAUAUACUGCUCUUUUCAGCACUAUCAGAUCAAGGAUUUAAAUGUCGUAGCACGGAGUCGUGCCGGAAACUUGCCAACACGACACGGCACGGUGCGUGCUGAGCCUUGCCGAUGCAUUCCGAUUAAAAAAAUUCUUGUGUACCGACAUAUAAUAGUAUGAAAUAUUUAUUUUCUUUAGCAACAAAAUAUUCUAACUAUUUAUUGUAUCUUUUCUUCACAUCUUUUGAACUUUAUUGAGGAAAUUAUUUACUAAUUUAAAGAAUAGAGAGUUUUGAGCUGUGUCAUCGGUACGGGGUCUGUAUCGUGCUGGCAUCUUGUUGACACGGUACGGCACGGUAGAUACGGCCUGUGCCGACGGACACUUAAAACCUUAGAUCAGAUACACUAAAUUAAAAGUUCUAUAUAAGAAUUUCAUCUUCGCUUCUUGUUAUGUAUGCUAAGACUGUAAUGCUCAAACAAUUUUAUAUUGGAUAAAAAAAUAAUUCUGAUUAGAAUAUAUGAGGCUUCACACGAUAAUAAUAAUAACUGGACUUAAACAUUUUAGGCCGGUUGUUUAAGGCCCAACGAGUUAUUAUUGCUAGCGGAUCGGAUCAUUACAAAGACUCAAUUUGAAAUUACAGUAAACAUGUAUU